rnacentral:rRNA from 1 species
AGCGAACGCUGGCGGCAGGCUUAACACAUGCAAGUCGAACGGGCACUUCGGUGCUAGUGGCAGACGGGUGAGUAACGCGUGGGAACGUGCCUUUCGGCUCGGAAUAAUCCAGGGAAACUUGGACUAAUACCGGAUACGCCCUUCGGGGGAAAGAUUUAUCGCCGAAAGAUCGGCCCGCGUCUGAUUAGCUAGUUGGUGAGGUAAAGGCUCACCAAGGCGACGAUCAGUAGCUGGUCUGAGAGGAUGAUCAGCCACAUUGGGACUGAGACACGGCCCGAACUCCUACGGGAGGCAGCAGUGGGGAAUAUUGGACAAUGGGCGCAAGCCUGAUCCAGCCAUGCCGCGUGAGUGAUGAAGGCCUUAGGGUUGUAAAGCUCUUUUGUCCGGGAAGAUAAUGACUGUACCGGAAGAAUAAGCCCCGGCUAACUUCGUGCCAGCAGCCGCCGUAAUAC